AANGUACGGUCCUGCNGAAAAAGCGCCGGCUACUACGUGCCAGCAGCCGCGGUAAUACGUAGGGCGCAAGCGUUAUCCGGAAUUAUUGGGCGUAAAGAGCUCGUAGGCGGUUUGUCGCGUCUGCUGUGAAAUCUGGGGGCUCAACCCCCAGCCUGCAGUGGGUACGGGCAGACUAGAGUGCGGUGGGGGAGAUUGGAAUUCCUGGUGUAGCGGUGGAAUGCGCAGAUAUCAGGAGGAACACCGAUGGCGAAGGCAGAUCUCUGGGCCGUAACUGACGCUGAGGAGCGAAAGGGUGGGGAGCAAACAGGAUUAGAUACCCUGGUAGUCCAAGGGCGAAUUC
rnacentral:rRNA from 1 species